CCCCUAGACGUUCUGGGCUGCACGCGCGCUACAAUAAUACGCACAGCGAGUAUCACCGAGCUCGAAAGGGCAAGGUAAACAAUAGAAAAGGUACUGUAAUGGUUAUAGAUCCUUGUAAUUAUUGAUCUUCAACGAGGAAUUCCUAGUAAGUAUGUGUCAUCAUCACGAACUGAUUACGUCCCUGCCCUUUGUACACACCGCCCGUCGCUCCUACCGAUUGGGUGAGCCGAUGAAACUCUCGGAUGUAGGCUAUUCAUAGCCCGCAGAAGAGAUUUGAAUCGUAGCGCUUAGAGGAAGGAGAAGUCGUAACA
rnacentral:rRNA from 1 species